GACGAACGCUGGCGGCGUGCUUAACACAUGCAAGUCGAACGGAAAGGCCCUGCUUUUGUGGGGUGCUCGAGUGGCGAACGGGUGAGUAACACGUGAGUAACCUGCCCUUGACUUUGGGAUAACUUCAGGAAACUGGGGCUAAUACCGGAUAGGAGCUCCUGCUGCAUGGUGGGGGUUGGAAAGUUUCGGCGGAUGGGGAUGGACGCGCGGCUUAUCAGCUUGUUGGUGGGGUAGUGGCUUACCAAGGCUUUGCCGGGUAGCCGGCCUGAGCGGGUGACCGGCCACAUUGGGACUGAGAGACGGCCCAGACUCCUACGGGAGGCAGCAGUGGGGAAUAUUGCACAAUGGGCGGAAGCCUGAUGCAGCAACGCCGCGUGCGUGAUGACGGCCUUCGGGUUGUAAACCGCUUUCGCCUGUGACGAAGCGUGAGUGACGGUAAUGGGUAAAGAAGCACCGGCUAACUACGUG
rnacentral:rRNA from 1 species